AGUAAAUCAAAUUAGAGCUUGAGAGUAAGCGUUUCAUUUACACUGGAGAUUUAAUCGUGCAAUUCGGUUUAAUUUG
rnacentral:tRNA from 1 species